rnacentral:rRNA from 1 species
UACGUAGGGACCAAGCGUUGUUCGGAUUUACUGGGCGUAAAGGGCGCGUAGGCGGCAAUUCAAGUCAUCUGUGAAAUCUCCGGGCUUAACUCGGAACGGUCAGAUGAUACUGCUUUGCUCGAGUGCGGAAGGGGCAAUCGGAAUUCUUGGUGUAGCGGUGAAAUUCGUAGAUAUCGGGAGGAACACCAGUGGCGAAGGCGGCAACCUGGACAGAUAUUGACGCUGAGGUGCGAAAGCGUGGGGAGCAAACAGG